rnacentral:rRNA from 1 species
UACGAAGGGGGCCGGCGUUGCUCGGAAUCACUGGGCGUAAAGGGUGCGUAGGCGGGUCUUUAAGUCAGGGGUGAAAUCCUGGAGCUCAACUCCAGAACUGCCUUUGAUACUGAAGAUCUUGAGUUCGGGAGAGGUGAGUGGAACUGCGAGUGUAGAGGUGAAAUUCGUAGAUAUUCGCAAGAACACCAGUGGCGAAGGCGGCUCACUGGCCCGAUACUGACGCUGAGGCACGAAAGCGUGGGGAGCAAACAGG